GAUGAACGCUGGCGGCGUGCCUAAUACAUGCAAGUCGAGCGAACAGACGAGGAGCUUGCUCCUCUGACGUUAGCGGCGGACGGGUGAGUAACACGUGGAUAACCUACCUAUAAGACUGGGAUAACUUCGGGAAACCGGAGCUAAUACCGGAUAAUAUAUUGAACCGCAUGGUUCAAUAGUGAAAGACGGUUUUGCUGUCACUUAUAGAUGGAUCCGCGCCGCAUUAGCUAGUUGGUAAGGUAACGGCUUACCAAGGCAACGAUGCGUAGCCGACCUGAGAGGGGAAUCGGCCAAACUGGACUUGGGCACGGGCCCAGCCCCCUAGGGGAGGCAGCAGUGGGAAACUUUCCGAAAUGGGCGAAAGCUUGAGGGACAAACGCGGCGUGAGUGAUGAAGGCUUUCGGAUCGUAAAACUCUGUUAUUGGGAAAGACAAAAUGUGUAGGUACCAAUGACGGCCUUGCCGGAACUUAAUAAGAAAGCCACGGUAAACUACGG
rnacentral:rRNA from 1 species